rnacentral:lncRNA from 1 species
UUCUGAUAUUGGAUUCUCACAAUUGACUCUGUUGAGUAAGUACUGUUAUUAUCAUUUCCAUUUUACAGAUGGAGAAAAUGAGUUAUUAAAUGACUUUCUUAAGUUCAAAUAGCUGGAGGUCAAUUAAGAUGAGAAAAGAGACUCAGAAGAGAAAAUUGUUUUUGUUCAAGAUCACAAAGAGAGGCCACUUCUGGCAUCACAUGUUCUUACGUCACAGGGGCCAGGCAGCCCACCCACCAGAUGCUGAAAGAUCUGGAUAAAGAAAACCAAGAAAUUAAACCCUGAUUUGUAGCAAUUUCUGAGGUAUAAAGGCUCAUACUGAAAUUUAACUAAUAGCUAUCAAGAACCCAUCCCAGCUGGUUCCAGCACAUUCCUGCAUAGCAGCUCUAUAAGGUAGGUAUUAUUAGGACUAGUUGAUAUAUGAUGAAACUGAGGCUAAAGGAUGUGUUAAGAUUAAAAUUAGUUUCUCUGCUA